rnacentral:rRNA from 1 species
GAUGAACGCUGGCGGCGUGCCUAAUACAUGCAAGUCGAGCGAACAGACGAGGAGCUUGCUCCUCUGACGUUAGCGGCGGACGGGUGAGUAACACGUGGAUAACCUACCUAUAAGACUGGGAUAACUUCGGGAAACCGGAGCUAAUACCGGAUAAUAUAUUGAACCGCAUGGUUCAAUAGUGAACGACGGUUUUGCUGUCACUUAUAGAUGGAUCCGCGCCGCAUUAGCUAGUUGGUAAGGUAACGGCUUACCAAGGCAACGAUGCGUAGCCGACCUGAGAGGGUGAUCGGCCACACUGGAACUGAGACACGGUCCAGACUCCUACGGGAGGCAGCAGUAGGGAAUCUUCCGCAAUGGGCGAAAGCCUGACGGAGCAACGCCGCGUGAGUGAUGAAGGUCUUCGGAUCGUAAAACUCUGUUAUUAGGGAAGAACAAAUGUGUAAGUAUCUAUGCGCGUCUUGACGGUACCUAAUCAGAAAGCCACGGCUAACUACGUG